rnacentral:rRNA from 1 species
UACGUAGGGUCCAAGCGUUAUCCGGAAUUACUGGGCGUAAAGCGUGCGUAGGCGGCGCGUUAAGUGAGAUGCGAAAUCCUGUGGCUCAGCCAUAUGGACUGUGUCUCAUACUGACGUGCUUGAGGAUGGCAGAGGCAAGUGGAAUUACCGGUGUAGCAGUGAAAUGCGUAGAUAUCGGUAGGAACACCAAUGGCGAAGGCAGCUUGCUGGGCCACACCUGACACUGAGGUACGAAAGCGUGGGGAGCGAACAGG